rnacentral:misc_RNA from 1 species
AAGGAUCAUUAGUAUAUUUUUUCAGUUGUGAAAUACUUCGGUAUUCUGCACUGAAUAAACACUUUUUGUGAACUCGUACAACCCACUUUCUAUAAAAUGUCUGACAAUAUUAGCUCAUUGAGCAAAGUAUAUCUUAAAUUAAAUAUAACUUUUAACAACGGAUCUCUUGGCUCUC